GCCAAGCCGAAUUGAUUCUGUCUAUCGGUGGUAGCCCUCCGGAAUGUUCUGGAGGGUACAGGUAACCGUACCCCUGACAGCGAAAUCGGCCCUGUGCUGACCCCAAAGGACCUCACCCCAGAUCUGCCCUGCGAAAUUGUGAAUGCUCUGUCCUUGGAAUUGCUCCAGGCCAGGUAGGAUGGGGCUCUGAGGAACCUGGUCUAGUGGAAGGUGUCCCUGCCAGUGGCAGGGGGUGGACUGAGAUCGUCUUUGAGGUCCCUUCCAACCCGAGUCAUUCUAGACAGUUUACCAUAUUUUGAAGAACGGUUCUUGUCACCGUGAUGGUACCACCCGACUGAUGAGGCUGUCAUCUGCAAAUUGGAUUAGGG